UACGUAGGGGGCAAGCGUUGUCCGGAUUUAUUGGGCGUAAAGAGCGUGUAGGCGGCCAGGUAGGUCCGCUGUGAAAACUCGAGGCUUAACCUCGAGAUGUCGGUGGAAACCAUCUGGCUAGAGUCCGGAAGAGGAGAGUGGAAUUCCUGGUGUAGCGGUGAAAUGCGCAGAUAUCAGGAAGAACACCCGUGGCGAAGGCGGCUCUCUAGUACGGUACUGACGCUGAGACGCGAAAGCGUGGGGAGCGAACAGG
rnacentral:rRNA from 1 species